UGCGUAGGCGGCGCGGAAAGUAGGGUGUGAAAUCCCUCGGCUCAACCGAGGAACUGCGCCCUAAACUACCGUGCUCGAGGGAGAUAGAGGUGAGCGGAACUUAGGGUGGAGCGGUGAAAUGCGUUGAUAUCCUAAGGAACACCGGUGGCGAAAGCGGCUCACUGGAUCUCUUCUGACGCUGAGGCACGAAAGCUAGGGUAGCGAACGGGAUUAGAUACCCCGGUAGUCCUAGCCGUAAACGAUGAGCACUGGAUUGGAGGGUCCUCCAUAGCCUUCCAGUCGCAGCGAAAGUGUUAAGUGCUCCGCCUGGGGAGUAUGGUCGCAAGGCUGAA
rnacentral:rRNA from 1 species